rnacentral:rRNA from 1 species
CAUGCAAGUGGAGCGACGAACCAGGGCUUGCCCUGGAGCAAAGCCAUGAACGGGUGAGUAACACGUGAGUAACCUGCCCCGAAGAUUGGGACAACCCGAGGAAACUCGGGCUAAUACCGAAUGACCCCCCUGGUCGUAAGUCCAGUGGGAAAAGGAAGCUUCGGCCUCCGCUUCGGGAGGGGCUCGCGGCCCAUUAGCUAGUUGGUGAGGUAACGGCUCACAAAGGCAACGAUGGGUAGCUGGUCUGAGAGGACGAUCAGCCACACUGGGACUGAGAACGGCCCAGACUCCUACGGGAGGCAGCAGUGGGGAAUCUUGCGCAAUGCGCGAAAGCGUGACGCAGCAACGCCGCGUGGGGGAAGAAGGCCUUCGGGUUGUAAACCCCUUUCAGGAGGGACGAAGGUGCGACGGUGAAUAGCCGCUCGCACUGACGGUACCUCCAGAAGAAGCCCCGGCUAACUACGUGCCAGCAGCCGCGGUAAUACGUAGGGGGCAAGCGUUGUCCGGAAUCAUUGGGCGUAAAGCGCGCGUAGGCGGUUGGUAAGUCCACUCUGAAAGUCCAAGGCUCAACCUUGGAAUGCGGGUGGAUACUGCCGGGCUAGAGUCCGGAAGAGGCGAGCGGAAUUCCUGGUGUAGCGGUGGAAUGCGCAGAUAUCAGGAGGAACACCAAUAGCGAAGGCAGCUCGCUGGGACGGUACUGACGCUAAGGCGCGAAAGCGUGGGGAGCGAACAGGAUUAGAUACCCUGGUAGUSCACGCCGUAAACGAUGGGCAUUAGGUGUGGGAGGUGUCGACUCCUCCCGCGCCGUCGCUAACGCAUUAAAUGCCCCGCCUGGGGAGUACGGCCGCAAGGCUAAAACUCAAAGGAAUUGACGGGGGCYCGCACAAGCAGCGGAGCAUGUGGUUUAAUUCGACGCAACGCGAAGAACCUUACCUGGGCUUGACAUGUCGGUGACCGGUGUGGAAACACAUCUUUCCUUCGGGACACCGUCACAGGUGRUGCAUGGCUGUCGUCAGCUCGUGUCGUGAGAUGUUGGGUUAAGUCCGUAACGAGCGCAACCCCUGUCC